AACGCGAAGAACCUUACCAACCCUUGACAUGUCCCGUAUGGGUCCCGGAGACGGGAUCCUUCAGUUCGGCUGGCGGGAACACAGGUGCUGCAUGGCUGUCGUCAGCUCGUGUCGUGAGAUGUUGGGUUAAGUCCCGCAACGAGCGCAACCCUUGUCCUAUGUUGCCAGCGGAUUAUGCCGGGGACUCGUAGGAGACUGCCGGGGUCAACUCGGAGGAAGGUGGGGACGACGUCAAGUCAUCAUGCCCCUUAUGCCCAGGGCUGCAAACACGCUACAAUGGCCGGUACAGAGGGCUGCAAUCCCGCGAGGGUGAGCGAAUCCCACAAAGCCGGUCUCAGUUCGGAUUGGAGUCUGCAACUCGACUCCAUGAAGCCGGAGUUGCUAGUAAUCCCGGAUCAGCACGCCGGGGUGAAUACGUUCCCGGGCCUUGUACACACCG
rnacentral:rRNA from 1 species